GGUUGCGGCCAUACCAAGCUGAAAGCACUGUUUCCCGUCCGAUCAACGUUAGUUAACCAGCUUAGGGUCACACUGAGUAGUGUAGUGGGAGACCAUAUGCGAAAUUGUGAUGUUGCAAUCU
rnacentral:rRNA from 1 species